GUUCCUCGCGGAGGUUUCGAACUCUCCAGGUAUCCUUCCGUAGCGUCCUUUGAAACGAGUCCUCCCGUACCCGAGGCAACGCGCCACAGUAAACACCUGCGGCCACCGUCUGCGCCCGCGUCGCGGGGAGCGUGCCAAGGCGCUUCGCAGCGAGGCCUCGCGCGGGAAGCGCUUGCGCGGGGAGGCUCGUGGCCUCCGCCGCUCCUGCCGCUGAGUCAACCCGGACGGGAGCUCAGACGCCCUGGUCCCGGUUGUCGGGCCGGUGCUCUGCUGAGAGGUGACUUGGUCCUGUGGGCCGCCGGGUGUUGUGCUUUAGUGCAAGGUAGGAUUUUGCUAUAAACGAAAUAGCUGCAAGGAACCUCUUGAGGUUGUCUGUAUAGAAAGCACCACCGCAAGCAGCAGCCAUGCCUACAGAAGGAGGGAAGACGGAUAUGGAGAGGAUUGGCCUCUUCAGUGAGAUGGAGUAUGUUACUGUUGGUGAUAAAUAUGUGUCCUCAUUUAAUCGACCCUUUAAUGACGCUGCAAGCAAAAAUAAACAGAUGCUACCUGGGGGAUCCAAAGCAAUGUCAAAUCUCCAGGCAGGUUAUUUUGAUCCCCAUUUUGUAAGGAUAUUUGAAGGUGAAGGCUAUGUAAAUCUGAAUCAAGUGAGGAGACGGCAUAUGAUGGAAGAGGCCAAAAAAAACCUAGGCAAAGCCUUCCUCCCUAGUAAUGGAGAUAAAAAGCCAUGUGGGUUAGGAACCUACUAUGGCACAAUAGGCGGUCCGGUGCCAUUCUUCAGCACACAGUUGAAACCCAGAGACAAAUAUGAGGUACCUGGAAAGAAUUUAUACACAAACCCGGGAAAGAAAGGAACAGGAUAUGGCUAUGCAAAUAUUACCAUAGGUAAACAGUUUUCACACUCUGCUGAUUUCUACGAUGCACCCAAACUAAAUUUUAAGAAGGAGAAUGAAGAACACCAUCGUUUAGUUAAAGGAACACCUUUCAAAUCAAAUCUUUACCCAAGGGAAUAUUUUGACACGAAUCCUUAUUUGUUUGAGAAAGCUUUACCACCAAUUAAAAAAACAGAGAAGAAAGAAUUACUUGCACACCCCUUUAAGCCUUCUUCUCCUGGUAAAAAGGCUGGUGGAAUGAAGGCAGGAACAUUUGAUCCUUACCCUUCACAUUCUGCUGACCCUUAUGUGGUUAAAUUGGCAAGCCAGACUUCCAGCAAAGGUGCUAAGAUUUUCUAUCCCCCAAGUGGACCAAAGAGCAGACCAACUAAAAGUAUAAUGACUUUGAAUGUCAAAAGGGAUGAACUGGAGGUGGGACAACGCUCAGGCAUUCCUGCAAAGGACUAUCUACAAGUGACGGCUCUGCCUGGGAACCUUGUUUUUUCCUCCUGUAGUCUUGUCUUCUAUCUAAGGCACUCUUAUACCUGGUCAGAUUCUUCUGGGAUGAAUUCUGUACAAAACAGCCAAUGGCAUACAGGGUAUUAGCAACUGGUUUUCAACAUGAUCCCAUUUUGGAGCCACUAAUAAACAAGGGAGAUGGAGAUGUGAAAUGUGAUCGCGUUGUGAUGAGUGCCGAGUCAGCAUUCUAUACACUGAUGAGAAAUGAGAGUAUGUCCAGCAAGGCAAGCAGAGUUCUUUCAUGUUUUGAUAAGCUCAUGACUGUGAUACUCAACUGGAAUUUGUAGUCUUCUCUGAAGUUUUUCUGAAUUGCUACAAUCAUGGAGUGAUAUCUUCUUGGAACUGAUUGUCUGAAAGUCAGCUGGGGACACGAGGUUGGGUGUUGAUCAUUUGGCAAGAGAUUCACUUGAGGAGAGCAAUGGGAGACACCCGGAGUACACAAAUAAGCACCCCGACCUUAUCAGAUUCAGAUUCACCUGGUGAAAUUACCCAUAAAUGCUGUGAUGGAAACAGGAACAAAAGAAUAUUCUGGGGCAUAUUCUUCACACAAAGGGAACGCAUUUUGGUGGAGAGCUAAUAUACAGUGGAAGUUAUCCAAUGGAAUGGAAGGGUCCAAGGUGAGAAUUAAGAUGAACCAACUUGACAAAACACCUCUGAUAACGCAAUUGCCAACAGAGGAAUGUAUGUGUUUCUGAAUGCGAGAGAUAGAUGUCGAUGAGGGUUGAUACACAUAGAGCCACAAGGAUCCAAGGUCUAUUAGAAAGGAUCCAAGGUGUGGAGCUAGCCCUUUACUAUUUGUGUGUGAGAAAAGCACAUAAUUUGAAAUUUGCCAAAAGCUUGUGGGUAUUACCAGGGACUGCCCAUGCCGAUGGUGAUAAAGCUUUUUAGGGAAAUAAUUUUAAAAUUUAAGGUAGUUGAGUUGAAAAAGUGCUUCCAACUUCUUGUAAUUAACUUCUUCUUGGAAAAAUAGCUGUUUCUGAGGCAGAAAUAUUUUUAAAUGUGUUGCUUUUAGCUGAGUGGUGAUUUUCAGCCAAAGAGUAUUCAUUCCGCAAAUGAGGUUUAGUGAUGAGUUUAAAGAAUAUUUCUUCUCUGAGCUGGUGCAUAUACAUCUUUUCUCCAUUUGUGUAUCAGGAGAACAUAGAGUAAAUGCAUUUUCUCUUGGCUUACGGAAGAAAUUGGGGGUAAACUACACAAUUUUCUUACGGAGAAAUGUCAAAAAGAAAAACUAAAGUAUACUUCCAAGCAAAAUUUAUUAGAUGUCUAUUCGAGAAAAACACAAUGACCUUCGCUUAUAAGAAUUCAAAGUCAAUAAGCUGAAAGCCAGGUAUGAAUAUUUUUCCUUUUAAAAUCAGAUACAGAGAGUAGAAACAGUAAUUUUUCUUAAAUAUGACAGGCAACAGAUAUUGAAAUCUUUUCUCAUAAAUGGCAUCAAAGAUAAAUAUUCAUUUAUCAGCAAAGCUGCAUGCAGUUGACUCAAUUUCAAACCCAAAGCCUUUAAAAUAUAAAGCUGCUUGUGAAUUUGACAGUAAUCAAGGUAGUCUACUCAAAGAUGUUUCUUUACCUUCUUUCUAAUGAGAUUCCUCUGUAAUCAGUAUUUAUGUACAUUUCAGUUUGGCUGCUCAGAUCUUGUAAGUUCAUAAACUUUUGCAUAAAUGCUAUCUUACAGAAUCGCGCAAUCAAGGCGUGCUUGUGAUCUGUGGGAUAUGUAAAGGAUAAUCUGUUGAAAGUGUUUUAGCUUAGUUUAAAGUGAAGGAUAAAGACCAAAUUAGGAAAUUCCCAUUUUCUCAACAACUAAAUAGUCUGUACAAAAGAGCAAACAUAUGUACAAAAUGCUAGGGUCUACGUACAUUGUGAAAAGAUCAAUCACUGUCCACAGAAGAAACGCCAUAAAAAGUUUUAUCUGUAAGGUGCUCAAGAUCCAAAUAUGAAUAGUUCUUAUGCAAAGUCAUAAGAAAUACAAAGCUAGUUCUCAAGGUAUGUGUAAUUCAGGCACUGUUGACCACAUUAAAUCUUUCAGGUCCCAAAACCAUUUUGUAAAUGUCUACUUCAGGGCAGAAAAUAUAACCCGAAUGAUUUAACAUUGCCUCUAAAAAGUGCCUAAUGUAUUCCGAGGAAAUAUUUUUACACACACCAGGAAAAUCAGGCUCAACAUAUUCCUGUCCUCAAAUGUAGCCAGGAUUCUGAGUUCCAUAGAAGAAAAAUAAUUAUCAUAGUAAAAAUAAUUGUAUUGAUCAUAAUCCUUGCUAAAACCAGCCUUCAUACUUGUGAUGCUUCUGAAGUACUCUAUUUCUAUAAAAUAAUGUGUGGGAUUCCUUUACAUUUCCAUAAAAUGUACAACAUACCAUAUGGAUUGUCUGUUUUCACACAAUCUCAAAUGUAUAUGUGUGCACACAGUGAAAUCUUACCUAUGAAUAUUGCUUACAGAUACUUUCAAGUGUCUACGUUAGGAUAAUUCUUUGCACCUCUCACUAACACUGUUUUUAUUAAAAUUUUAUCAGAUAAAUAAAACACUAAGAGCUCAUUGUUCAUGAUGCUGAUUAUUACAUUUUAAUAUAAAAUAGCAAUGCAACUUUACAACACAAUAGGUUUUGUUUUUGUUUUUGUUUUUGUUUUUUUUUGUAGUCUAGUUAAACCUCUUAUAGUCUCAUGAUUAUUACCAAAGGCUCUUAAUCACUUACGGUUUGCACUUCUAAAAAGUACAGAAGAGACUGCAGGAAAAGGCUCCUAUUUGAAAACUCACAUUCAAUCAACAAAAUCACACUCAUUCGGAUUAACUUUCCUACUCUUGCUUUAGAUUUUUGUAAUCACUGUGCGUAUUACAAUAUAUAAGUGCAGGCAAACGAUAGCCGAAGUACAGUUUUCAUGUCGUGUAAACCAGGACACUAGGCAAACUCGUGAAAGGAAAAUACACUGCCAAGCUAAGGAUGCGAAAAUGCAAACCACAGCAUUUAGUAAAACACAAUCUCUGGCUGCCUGAGGGGAGAAUAUCUUUCGAAGUGAACUAGAGAGUCUCCUUGAGACAGUUCCUUUUUUUUUUUUUUUUUGCCUCAAAUACGUAACCCUUUCUAA